GAUACAAGUGACUGUUCUGCAUUUCUUGUCUGUUUUUUUUUGGCACAAAAAGGAUAUAAUUUGAGGUAACGACAUAUUCAAGCACAGAAGUAUGACAAGUGAUUAUUUUGUUUUUAUUUCAAGGCUUUUAAAUGUGGAUAUCGACAGUUUAAAGAAAAAGCACUGAAGGAAAAAAAACGGCGAGUGGCUCAGAUAAUCCAUUGUUUUGAAAACGAUGACCGCUAAGAGAGAUGUAUAUCUUGCAUGGUGUAUGAAAACGACAUAGUAUGCUUAAAAGGUUAAAGAGUCACCUGUUUCAUUUUUCCAAAACGUAUGUUUGGAACUUUCGAGGAAAUACUGGAUUUGGCAUGAUAAUUCAAAUCGGUUGCCUAAGCAACGAAGCCACCGCCGCCAUGAGUGAGCCUAGACCUAGACUCAUAUAUUUAUAUAAGUCUAGGCGAAUUCCCACAGGUUUUUGUCAAAAAUUAGUUUAAGCAACUUUUAGAAAUUAUUCGUCUUUACUGGUCGAAAAAAACACCAUACAAACAAACAAACAAAAUGGCAUAGGACAGCUUUCAAGAUAAUAGAUAGGGCGACCACAUUGGGACUAUGACUUCAGUAAGAUGCGUCGUGACCAGCCUUCUCUAAUUUGUUUGCCUGACAUCCGUAAAAGUGUUUCGCGGAAACGAAUUAUAAAGAUGGGCGAAAGAGCUGUUGGAAAGAAGAGCCAUCUACCUCAAGGAAGCGGUGCGACAGCACUUGCAAGGUAGAGG